AUGUCACCAGCGCUACACGUGUUGCCUCCGGUGCCACCGGAAAAUCUGACAGCAGCUUCCGCACGAAUCGCAGCUCGCUCCCAAAGUUGGAAGCUCCCACGCUGGAAGACUCGUCCACGAGGAAGACCAGAUCCAGACAGCCUCCCCGUUCCCGAAGAAGACGCACAUUCCUUCGGAAGACCUGGCCGAGACGUUCCACUUUGCUCUCCACGCUCUCAGAGAGGUUUUGCCGGGUUUGGGCCGCCUGACGCAAACCCCGCUGGGACAACCGCUGAGCCUGGCCCAGCCAACCAGUACAGCAUGACCAGUACAGGAGAACAGGGUGAGUCUCCUAUCUCUCCGCUGGUCUCAGGAAUCUGUGGAGCUCCUGCAUUUCAGACACCCUCCAAAUGCGUCUCUCCUCUCUCUCAAAGUCAUUUGAAAAGAGCGAGUCAGUGAAAAAAAGUUCGGUGAGAAUGAGCGAGGGUGUGUGCGCUGGUGCGAGACUAAGGGAAGGAGUGAGAAGGAAGAGUGAGAGAGAGCAGCGGCAGAGGAGGAAAAAAGGGGCAGUCAGAGGCGCGAGUGUCUCUCUCUUUUCUUCUCGUCCCGUUCUCUUGCUUAUUCCCUACUUGUUCUGCCCUUCUCUCUUUCUUUUUCCUCUGCUUGUCCUAGAGGGCUCCAGACUGUCCGUCAGCCAAUGUCUUUGUGAGAGAAUAAGUGUGUGUGUGUGUGUGUGAGGGAUAAUGAGAGAGAGAGACGUUUGUCUAUCGGCCUGUCAACAUGCCCAAAGAAAACAUCAGCACGGGGCCUGUUGAUCAAAUCCAUAUGUCUGGCACUCGUCUUCUCUCGGACGAACACUCUCACCAAACUACCAGGCAGAUACCAAAAGAGCCAUCUGCUAAUGAGAAUAAUCGCGAUGAGCUUUAGACAAAACAAGCAUGAAAUGGAUACAAAAGCAACACAAUUUACUUGACAAGCAGAAAAGCUCUUAACAGGUUUUAAAUCGAAGCAGCAUUAUAUUAAGAGUCCACAUGUCAUGUGAGUUUUGUAAGCAGAGCCUCCAGUCUUUAUUACUUCCUCUCGUUUUCUCUUGGGGGUCUUGUGGGGAGAGAAAUCGGACCCCCCUCUCUGUCUCUUUUAUUUGUUCCUGCUUUCUUUUGUGAUUUUUAUCUGUAACCAAAACAAAGUCUCAAUGCUCAACGCAGUUUUAGGUGGGCCGGCCACAGUUUGGCUGUAUAACAGAACAUUUGGAGCCAGGCUCAAACUUAAUUAAUACAAAUGAAUGCCACGUGUGAAUCCCAACUGUCAUGGCUUUGAAGGGACAAAACAGACAGGGAUUUGCAGUUUUGUGAGAUUAUAGCUCAAACAGCUACUGAUUCUUAACUGAACCAACAUGCUGAGUGUUAAGUGUGGUCUUUAAAGUUACACACACACAAUUUUGCAUGUAUUUAUCUUACAUGCCAUCGUGGUAACUGUAUAUAUACAGACACAUUUUAAGUCAUACACAUGCACCAUAAAUUCACUUGAAUCUGUUAGUCGGUCUACUUCUGUCUUUCAUCUGAUUGGCAGGUGGUGACACAUUCUUGACAUUUAUCCAAACAAGAGGGGGCUAUUGCAAGAUAAUACAAACAUCUUAUUUCUUGUAGUGUUAAUCACUUCACACUUGCUUAUGUUUUGCUUAUAUAUAUAUAUAUCUCUGAAAAAUAACGUCUGUGUUUGUUCUGAUGCAAGUAAUUUUAACAGAAGAUUUUACAAAUAAGGGAUUUAAAAUACAAAAGACUUUUUUCUCAUUAACUACUUGGCAAAGCGAAGUGUCUUACGUAAAACUUAAAAAUAGUAGAAUAGUGCCCUCUACAGGUUAAUAAGGGUACUUGUUGUCCAGUUGUUCAACUGUUGAGAAACCAGUAGGACAAAAUAGGCCCCCUAAAACUAUUUUUUUUUAAAAAUUAUUUAAAAUUUUACAAUUAUUUAAAAUAAAACAUCUAAAAAUCAAGAUGUGGAUAAAUAAGGUAGCCUAUUUUUAGUGUGAUUAAGUGUAAUAUACAUACACACACACACACACACACACACACACAUUCUACUGUACGAAUGUCAGUUUACAUUUCCUUCAGCUUAUGGCUUUUUCAUUUCACUUACAUUUACGAAAGAUAAAACUUAAACAAGAACUUAAACAAAGCAAGCCCAGUCUAGAUGAGAAAUACUAAUGCAAAAGUAACAUAAAUUACUUUUGCAUAAAUAGAUAUGCAAUUCCUUACUUUUUAGGGAGUAACACAAUAUAGUAAUGUAGUAAAUUUUUGUAACAUUUGACACAUUACAGAUUAUAUUUGUACCCUUUUUAGAUUUUUUAAUUGAAAUCUUAAAUAUUGUAAAUGUUAUAUUAAAGAGAGAGAAUUAACACAACUUAAAAAGAUGGAUGUUAUUAUAAUUUCUCUCUGUUAGGAUUUAUGUCAGAGUGCAAAUUCAUGAAGAGCUCAUAUUUAUUCUGCUGGCUCCAUCUAUUGGUGAAAUGAUGCAUGUGUGCCCUGCAAAGGCCAUUAUUGGAUACUCCAUGUUUUGACCCCAUACAAUCAAAUUAUAGAUAUGUAAUAUUUUGUCCAUGUUUGUAAACUUUGAGGCCAUGUUUAAGCUAAUGUUGACAAACAUCACUUUUAGUGGGUUUAGUAGGCCAUUUCAUUUUUUAAAGAGCACAGGAUCAGAAACUGAUUAAGAAAAAACAGUAACAUAUAAAGAAAUAUUUGAUCUAACUGUUGCAUGCAAACAAUUUUAUUUAUGGUUCAUAUGCUUUUGAACAGCGUCAACUGGAAAAGAUGCUGUUUAAAGCCAGAUGUUGUAGUUAUAGCAUGCACCAGCAGGGGCUAAUGGGGACAUCUAACCAGCCUUGCCAUACAGGGCAUGCUCUCUAGAAUGAUAAUAUCCCUCCCUCUGAUACAACCAACCAGCAAGUAGCAAAUCAAUCCUUCAAGACUGACAACAAAACCUAUUGCCUUUUUAAAAACACUCUUUGAAAUUACACAUUAAAACCUAUUAAAACAUUGUGUUAUCAUGUUUUAGUAAUUAUUUGCUUAGUUUUGCUUUAACUUAAGCUAAAUGUAUUUAUUUAUUUAUUUAUUUAUUUUUUGAGUAUGCAUGAGUCAUAUACUAUUCACUGGUCAACAUUAGCCCAGAACACAACACAUCUGACAUUCUGAAAUUAAUAUGUUCAGACAUGUUUCUUUCCAGUUCAAGUUUUUUUUUGUAAUGGUUGUUCAGUGGAAAGCAUCUGUUCCCAUUGUGUCUGUCCUCAAACAGCCAGCGCCCACCAUAAAAUGUAACGAUCGGUGUGGUGGUGCAGGUUCUCAGAGAUAUUUUUAGCACAGUCUCUGACGUAGACAUGAAUAAUUCAUGAGCCCUGCGGUUGAAUGAUGGACCACACCAUGCUUUGACAUCACAAUAUAUCAGUGACGUGAGAAUAUACCGUCUGCAAAAGAAAAGGCUGCAUUUAUUUAACAUUUAACUUAUUUAUCCAGUUAAAAUAAUACAGCCAGAGAUGACAAACCACAUUGAAAUGUGAAACACUUUACAGCUGCAUUUCUGAGAGAGGAAUUUGGUCUUUCCAAGAAAUAAGGCUUAGGAAAACAUGUUGUUCCUAUCACACACUUAAGAACAGAGAAGAAAAAAGAACCUAUUUUUGUUCCUAGUGUUUAGACAGAGAAAAAGCUAGACACACAUAAAAAUAAUACAGCCAGAGAUGCAAACCACAUUGAAAUGUGAAACACUUUACAGCUGCAUUUCUGAGAGAGGAAUUUGGUCUUUCCAAGAAAUAAGGCUUAGGAAAACAUGUUGUUCCUAUCACACACUUAAGAACAGAGAGAAAAAAGAAACCAUUUUUGUUCCUAGUGUUUGACAGAGAAAAAAGCUGACACACAUAGCCUACCCACCACACAACUUUGUCUUGUUCCACACUUGACGACAGAGUAAUUGUUAAUUUACAUACAAAAAAAAAAAACAAUUCUCACACACGUGCAAAAACCAGAAGACCCUCAGGGGAGCAAAAGUGGAUGUCUCUGAUGGGACAGCAGAGCCUAGGAAUGAAAAACAGAGUGAGGGAGGAGAGGAAAAGCAGGGAAACAGAGGAGACUGGAUUGAACCAGAGUUCCAAAAACAUGAUCACGCUGAGGAGAGCGUGAGGAGAGAAGUGAAAACGGAGAACACUAGGAAGAGGGGGAGAGACUGAACUGCCAAAUAGGAAGAAAGAGCAAAGCAGUAUUCCAGAAACGCAAACAAAUAUGACAGGAACACAGAAUUUAAAGGAAUAGUUGAUCAUUUUGUUCCAAACCUGUGAGACUUUCCUUAUUCUGCAGAACACAAACAAGAAUGUUUUGAAGAAUAUUAAUGACCAAACGGUUUUGCUGACUUCCACUGUAUAGACAAAUAAAUGAAAAAAACAUGAAUAAGUAAAUGAUCGCAGAUUUUUCAUAUUUUGUGGACAACCCUUUAACCCAUGAUUUAAUUAAAUGUAACGGACAAAGAUAUAUUUAAAACUCAAAAUUAAGAUGUGACAGGCAUUGCUUAAGCCUUAACAGUAUCAUUAUCAGAUGAUGAAAGAGGGUGAUCAGUUCAAUGAUGGUUUGCUAAAUGUAAUUAACACUCUGCUAUUGUGCUGAUGAUGAAAACACUGAUCCCAAACCACUUUGAUUGAUCACUGAAACACCCAUCUUUGAUUAAAAACAAAAGACAGCCUCUCACUCCAAAAUAAAUGUAAAUACACAGUCAGUCACAAAGAAACAUAGUGGGAAGGGUGCAAGCAGAGUGUGGAAAUACACAUAUCCAACUGUAUGUGUUGGUUUAUAUUAAAAGCAUAGUCCAUCCAAAAAUAAAUAUUCUGUCAUCAUUUACUCAUCUUCAUGUCAUUCCAAACCUGUAUGCAUUUCUUUCUCUUGCAUAACACAAAAGAAGAUAUUUUGUAGAAAGUUUGGGGUCCAAACAGCAUUUAAUUCCACAGACCACAAUGUAUGGACAAAAGAUUCACACUUUUCUAAAUAUCUUCUUUUGUGUUCCACAGAAGGAAGAAUCAUAUAGGUUUCGAACAACAAUUUUGGGUGAGCUAUAUAUUUAAAUAAAAUGUGUUUGCACACAAAUAAAGACAUAUGCAUAUCAGUUCAAGACAAAACAAAUGAAACACUUAU
rnacentral:lncRNA from 1 species